GCCGGCGACCGGCGCAAGGGUGCGUAACGCGUGAGCAACAUGCCCGUAUCAGGGGGAUAAUCCAUGGAAACGUGGUCUAAUACCCCAUAGUAAUUAUGUAAGGCAUCUUAUAUAAUUUAAAGCUUUGGUGGAUACGGAUUGGCUCGCGUGACAUUAGCUGGAUGGUAAGGUAACGGCUUACCAUGGCUACGAUGUCUAGGGGUUCUGAGAGGAAGGUCCCCCCACACUGGAACUGAGACACGGUCCAGACUCCUACGGGAGGCAGCAGUGAGGAAUAUUGGACAAUGGAUGGAAAUCUGAUCCAGCCAUGCCGCGUGCAAGGAAGACGGCCUAUGGGUUGUAAACUGCUUUUGUAGUGGGAGCAAUAAGGGCUACGUGUAGUCCGAUGAGAGUACCAUACGAAUAAGCACCGGCUAACUCCGUGCCAGCAGCAGC
rnacentral:rRNA from 1 species